rnacentral:tRNA from 1 species
GCCAGUAUGGCUCAGUGGUUGAGCAUCAACCCAUGAACCUGGAGGUCACGGGUUCGAUUCCCGGUCAGGGCA